rnacentral:tRNA from 1 species
GACCCCGUGGCUUAGCCUGGUAGAGCACUCGACUGAUAAUCGAGAGGUCCUGAGUUCAAAUCUCAGCGGGGUCA